CCUGCCCCAUGGUUGUAAGUAUGACAACUGUGUGUUGCAUGUGUGUCAGUAGGGGGCAGAGAGGAAAGAGGCUAUGUCUACACUAAGUGUUCUGAUCUAUGGACAUCUGAAUGAUUAGUAGUCUAACAUU